UCCGGCUCAACGCCGGCAGUCUCUCUAGAGUCCCCACCAUUACGUGCUGGCAACUAGGAAAAGGGGUUGCGCUCGUUGCGCCACUUAAGGCAACACCUCACGGCACGAGCUGACGACAGCCAUGCAGCACCUGUGCGGGCUCCCGUAGGAGGACCGUGUUUCCACGGCUUCACCCCGCAUGUCAAGCCUUGGUAAGGUUCUUCGCGUUGCGUCGAAUUAAACCACAUGCUCCGCUGCUUGUGCGGGUCCCCGUCAAUUCCUUUGAGUUUUAGCCUUGCGGCCGUAGUCCCCAGGCGGAGCACUCAUUGCGUUUGCGCCGGCACCGAGGGGGUCGAUACCCCCGACACCUAGUGCUCAACGUUUACAGCGUGGACUAC
rnacentral:misc_RNA from 1 species